rnacentral:misc_RNA from 1 species
GUGGGAGCUGGCUUGCCUGCGAUAGCGGCUUGUCAGUCACUGUAUCAACAACUGACCCACCGCAAUCGCAGGCAAGCCAGCUCCCAC